GUCUAGCUCUAUGGUACAGCAUCUGCUUUGAAUGGAGAAGGUCCAGGUUCAAUCCCCAGGAUCUCCA